UACGAAGGGGGCGAGCGUUGUUCGGAAUUACUGGGCGUAAAGGGCGCGUAGGCGGCCGAUCAAGUCAGAUGUGAAAGCCCCCGGCUCAACUGGGGAGGGUCACGCGAUACUGCUCGACUCGAAGGCAGGAGAGGGAAGUGGAAUUCCCGGUGUAGUGGUGAAAUGCGUAGAUAUCGGGAGGAACACCAGUGGCGAAGGCGACUUCCUGGCCUGUUCUUGACGCUGAGGUGCGAAAGCGUGGGGAGCAAACAGG
rnacentral:rRNA from 1 species